rnacentral:snRNA from 1 species
GUGCUCACUUCAGCAGCACAUAAACUAAAAUUGGAGUGAUACAGAGAAAAUUAGCAUGGCACCUGCACAAGGAUGACAAGCAAAUUCGUGAAACAGUCCAUAUUUUU